GACCGAAUUGGGUCGAACUCCCCAUGCUGCACACUGAGGGCAAUGCAUCCAGUGUGGCUAUCGGCACUGCGGCUAGAAGGCUUGCCAUCUGAAGCACUGCUACGCGAAUUAUACUUCAUCCUUCAUGAGGGACUUUGCUGGUGUUAAGCUCUGCUAAAUUGCUGAUCAAAAUCUUUCUUCACUUUGUUGGUAAGAGGGCCGG
rnacentral:lncRNA from 1 species